rnacentral:lncRNA from 1 species
GUGGAUCCCCCUCCAGAGGAGCCCAUGGACGUGGAUCCGCCCGCGGCAUAGCUGGCCUGGCACCACACCACCGUGCCAGGCCCCGCGUUGGCAUGGUCACAGCUUCACCAUCGCUGGUCCAGGCACUCGGCUCCUUUCCUGCUGCGUGGCCCCUGCCCCCAGCAUGAGCUGGGUGGCAUUAUUUAACAUCUUCUUCUCCUCCACCUCGUUGCUCCUCCGGUUCUGUGGGCCCCCAGUUCCUUCUUCCCCCUGUUGUAGUUAGGUGUUUGCUCUGUUCUUUGUUUUGAUGGUUGUGUUAGGUUAGUGUUAGUGUUCAGUUUAGUUUUAGCGUAGGGAUAGGUUCCUGUUUGUUCUUUAGAGUUAGGCAUAGGUUCCUGUUUGUUCUUUAGAGUUAGGUAUAGGUUUUUGUUGUUAUUUUAGAGUUAGGUAUAGGUUUCUGUUGUUAUUUUAGAGUUAGGCAUAGGUUAGUGUUCGUACUUGCAGUCAGGCAUUGGCUGUUACACUCAAGUAAAAGUAACCGCUGCUCCUUGGGUAAGCAUGCAGCUGGUUGCUCACCCCGAGCAAUGAGUGCGACUGCCCUGACAGUUUGAUGACAUCUGCGAUGAAUGGGAUUUGCAUCCGGUGACUUUUCCUUUGCAGAAUGUCCAGCAGCAGAGCGUGAGUGGCCUGAGAAAUGGAGCUGGGACUCAGGAGAGCAACACGUGGCUGUGUCCCAGAGCUCCCAAAGUGUGGCCAUUGCAAGUCGCUGGUGUUGUGCAGCACAGCCACGGCACGGCCCUCAGUGCGUACGCGAGGAGCGUGAAAAGCUCCUCCUCCCCUCAGCUGCAAGUGGGGCAGUGCUCGAGUGUGAGGACUCUUCCUUGGCAUGCGGUAACAGACAAUGCAGAUGUGACUUUUGUGUCCUUCCUUGUUCUUGGCAAGCUUGCCGAGGCAAGGCAAGCGCUACUCAGCUGAGGAAGAAAGCCGAGAAGGAAAGCAGAAAGCAACGAUGAGGGCUUGAGCAAGAAGCUACAAAGGACAGCAGAACCACCUGCAACGCUUCCUCGGAGGUGGCACCAAGAGCUGCUGACUCAACAGUCCAGUUUACUGGCACAGCCGUGCUUUCCCUGUCAUGGACGGUGGAGAUGAUGGAAGUGAACUGGACAGGAAGGACUUGUGCUGCGUUAGAAGCAAUGAGGGCUUCACAUAGGCAGGACUUGGUGUAUGGCAAGAGCUGGAGACGCUGCGUUCCUUCAGGGUGUGUCUCUUGAGGUCCAGGCCUGGUGUAGGGUUAGGUUGAAAUAGGGCUGGCUGGGACUGGAGAGGGAGGAGGUGACGUAGCCCCGGGGUUUGGCUUCUCCUUGGGUCUGACUGGAGGCUGAGUGACUGAUUGCUAAGCGGCAAUCCUGGCACUGGGGUUUCAAUUUUGGGGUGGGGCGGGCAAUUAAAUAGAAGC